UUAAGUAUUUUCUUUUUUAGCAAACUCUGCAGAACACAAAAAGUGAAGGCAAACAAGGGAAGUGUAAGCAGAAAUAGCACCACUCACCAAAAAUGGUAGUUGAUUUAACUGCAUUGGUUUCUAUUAUAUGGCAAAGAUCGCAGUAACACCUUCAAUAGUUAUGCACUUAUGCAGAAUUUGUUGUGUACAGGAAGAAAGUUUCUUGGCCCAAUUGUCAUUUCAAGCGUUGAAUCCAUUCCAGUACCUCUCCUUCCAUUGAGUAACGUACAUAUUAUUCGCAUUUGAAGGUUUCUAUGUCUAUAAGGAAGCGUGCAC